rnacentral:rRNA from 1 species
GAUGAACGCUGGCGGCGUGCUUAACACAUGCAAGUCGAACGAGAAGUGAAGACGGAAACCUUCGGGCGGAAGGCUUUAUUUCGAGUGGCGGACGGGUGAGUAACGCGUGGGUAACCUGCCUCAUACAGGGGGAUAACAGUUGGAAACGACUGUUAAUACCGCAUAAGACCACAGCACCGCAUGGUGCGGGGGUAAAAACUACGGUGGUAUGAGAUGGACCCGCGUUCGAUUAGCAAGUUGGCGGGGUCACGGCCCACCAAAGCGACGAUCGAUAGCCGAUCUGAGAGGAUGACCAGCCACAUUGAGACUGCGACCCGGCCCACAGUCCUGCGGGAUGCAGCAGUGGGGAAUAUUGCACAAUGGGGGAAACCCUGAUGGAGCGACGCCGCGUGAGUGAAGAAGUAUUUCGGUAUGUAAAGCUCUAUCAGCAGGGAAGAAAAUGACGGUACCUGAGUAAGAAGCCCCGGCUAACUACGUG